rnacentral:piRNA from 1 species
UGUGACUAGACUUGACUUUUCUCUUGGGGA